GUCAGAGCGGUGAGAUGACGGCAGCCUGUGCGAAUCAGCCUCCAGCCUCCUCGGGGUCCUGCCCACUCUGUUCGCCAUUCGGUCCCGCACCUCAGCCACAAGGGGCAGUCAGGGCUUCAGCCACUCCACGGGCACCAAUGCUGAAGACCACAGAGGAGUGUGCUCCAGACAGAAGAGGCCCGGCCCAGGCCCAAUGGAGACACGGACAUUUGUACCUGAAGCCCUCAAGUCUGCCCUAUGAAGGAGAUGAACCCUGAAAACACUGACCCCUGAAAUCAGCAAGAGGAGGCGGCUACAGUGCCAGGAUGUAACCCGCGCUCUCCCAAGUCUCCUCCUCAUCACACAGCUCCCGGGGCCUGCCAGAAGCACCCCUUGAAGGCACUGUCAGGGCCUUGCCACACUACUGCACGACGUGCACACGCAGGGGCUGGGACGUACAGCUCUGGCCUUGCCUCCAAGUCUGUCUCCAAAACAGUGAGCUGGGGAAGA
rnacentral:lncRNA from 1 species